CUCAAAAUUCACAAAUCGAACACAAAUUUAGCUAAAUUAACAUAUCAAACAAAUGCACAUAGAUCGAACCUUAAUAAACCCUAAAUUAUCACUCCUUAAAUCCAAAUUCUCAAUUAAAAUAAAAAAAAAUGAGAAAACCCAUAACAAAUAAUAAAUCUUUAAACUUUUACAGUAAAAAAGAAUAUCAACUUCAAAUAAUUAAACUUAACCCACAAAAGAAAAUCAAGAAGAAAAAGAAAUGAACUCACUUCAGCUAGAUUUGAACAGUAGAAAUGGAGUGAGUGAAGCGAAGCAAGACCCAGAUCGCCACGUGUACUUUAUGAGCUCGAGAAAAUCAAGACAGUGACUUUGAUUUCGUGAAUCUCAGUGUACUCUCUCUCUCUUUUUUUCUAUUAUACACAAAAACACACAAAGUACUCUUUUUUAUUUUAUAACAAAGUAGAGAGAUAGUACAAAAAAUGAUAAGAGAUUUUUUAGGGUUUUUAAAGAAGAUGAUUAGUAGCUUAGUUUGGGUCUUGGGUGGGUCAUACUUUCCGGGUAGGAUUUAACGGUUAAUCGGCGGCGAGGAAUUGGGGGAGGAGAUUAUUCCCGUCGAUCGCCGAUCAGGAAUUUUUUUUUGGAAAGGAAAAUCGAUAAUAAUAAAAAUAAAUAUUAUCUUUUUUUUUUAAAGUAAACGGUGUUAAUAAUAUUAAUGGUGGUUGUUGCUAUAGUGCGCUGGAGUGCGUACUGAUAAUUUUAUUAUAUUUUUUUAAUAAUUACUAUUAAUAUUGUUUUUUCGAAUAAUUAAUAUAUAGUCGUAAUUUCCU
rnacentral:lncRNA from 1 species